rnacentral:rRNA from 1 species
UACGAAGGGUGCAAGCGUUACUCGGAAUUACUGGGCGUAAAGCGCGUGUAGGCGGUCCGGUAAGUCCGCUGUGAAAGUCGAGGGCUCAACCCUCGAAUGCCGGUGGAUACUGUCGGGCUAGAGUACGGAAGAGGCGAGUGGAAUUCCUGGUGUAGCGGUGAAAUGCGCAGAUAUCAGGAGGAACACCAAUUGCGAAGGCAGCUCGCUGGGACGUUACUGACGCUGAGACGCGAAAGCGUGGGGAGCAAACAGG